UACGAAGGGGGCAAGCGUUGUUCGGAAUUACUGGGCGUAAAGGGCUCGUAGGCGGCCAACUAAGUCGGACGUGAAAUCCCCAGGCUCAACCUGGGAACUGCGUCCGAUACUGGAUGGCUUGAAUCCGGGAGAGGGAUGCAGAAUUCCAGGUGUAGCGGUGAAAUGCGUAGAUAUCUGGAGGAAUACCGGUGGCGAAGGCGGCAUCCUGGACCGGCAUUGACGCUGAGGAGCGAAAGCCAGGGGAGCAAACGGG
rnacentral:rRNA from 1 species